CAGGAUUGUAGUUUAAUAAAAUAUUUGCAUUGGAAGCUAAAGAUCAGGUAAGUACCUGCGUCCUGA
rnacentral:tRNA from 1 species